rnacentral:rRNA from 1 species
UACGGGGGGGGCAAGCGUUGUUCGGAAUUACUGGGCGUAAAGGGCUCGUAGGCGGCCAACUAAGUCGGAUGUGAAAUCCCCAGGCUUAAUCUGGGAACUGCAUCCGAUACUGGAUGGCUUGAAUUCGGGAGAGGGAUGCAGAAUUCCAGGUGUAGCGGUGAAAUGCGUAGAUAUCUGGAGGAAUACCGGUGGCGAAGGCGGCAUCCUGGACCGAGAUUGACGCUGAUGAGCGAAAGCUAGGGGAGCAAACGGG